rnacentral:rRNA from 1 species
CCUACGAGUGGCUGCAGUGGGGAAUAUUGGGCAAUGGAGGAAACUCUGACCCAGCAACGCCGCGUGAAUGAUGAAGGUCUUCGGAUUGUAAAGUUUUUUUCUAAGGGAAGAAGAAAGUGACGGUACCUUAGGAAUAAGCCUCGGCUAACUACGUGCCAGCAGCCGCGGUAAUACGUAGGAGGCGAGCGUUAUCCGGAAUGACUGGGCGUAAAGGGUGCGUAGGUGGUUUGGCAAGUUGUAGGGUAACUCAAAGGCUCAACCUUGGCACUACUAUUAAAACUGUUGGACUUGAGUGCAGGAGGGGCAGGCGGAAUGCCUGGUGUAGCGGUGGAAUGCGUAGAUAUUAGGAGGAACACCAGUGGCGAAGGCGGGUUGCUAGACUGUAACUGACACUGAGGCACGAAAGCGUGGGGAGCGAACAGGAUUAGAUACCCCUGUAGUC